GGGUAAAUGCACCCUCAAAUGCUGUGUCUAGGAGGGUAACAUGCACCCUGAAACCAGACAGUCUGCCCUUGUCUGAUUCAGACCCCGUGAUCUGGCAAGUUCGAACCACCGCAUGUGCGAAUGCACGCCGAAACACACUAGCCAUGCCACGGCCCCGUAUCUUUCCUUUGUUGUUAUGUGGACAUCCCGUCCUCGUUGUGAGGGUGCUAAGAGGUGAGGCAGAAAUCUUUUCUGGCCAGCACCCAUUGGGUGCACCUAUUGGGAAACCACCCCACCACCCCAAGUCAGCAUUAUUGUUCGAUAGCACUUAAGGUCGGUUUGCUUGUUUCUGAAACUGCAGUCGGCCAAGGAGGAAUUUCUGAAAUGAAUGCACCUUAUUAAUUACCUUACGCCAGCUGGGCUGUUAAGUUGUCUCCGUUUUCUUCUAUGGCUGCCAUCUCCAAGAUGGCGCCACCUAUGAAAUCAGGAGAGCAGGCCUCCGAUUUGCACUUUCCAACCCAACUUCACCAUUUCCAGUUGCUCUGCGUACAUCCCCCACACACCUGUGUGUGGGGAGGGGGUCACAGGAUAUCAGCAAAAGGUUUCCCAUGAUGCAAAACUCAGAAUUCCUUUUCAAAAGCUUCUCGUGUGUGGGGAGAGAGCCCCUUUCUCACGAAGAGAUCCUGUAAUAUUUCCCUUUGAGAACUGCUAGCUAUCGUUCCCCCACCCCCGGCCCCCAGUUUCAUGGCUACGACGACCCUCGUCGCAAAAAACUGGAAAAAAUCUAGACGUGUAUUUUCAGUUAACCCUUUCCAAGAUGUAGAUGUUGUCUUUGCUGAAUGGCAACUGAUUAAGAAAGCAAAACGCAUGGAGGCAGCGCAGCGAGAGCCUUUGACCUUUUCCUCUGGCUCCAACGCCUACUUUUAAUUUUGGCUCUUUGGCCAAAGCCAUCUCAUGGGCGUGGACACAACAUUAUCCCUUCCAGAAUCCACCUGAAGUCUUUGCCCAAGGUCGGCUGACACACUAGCAGUCAGCGGUGUCAAGACAUGUCCAUUUAUUACACACACACCCCUCCCAUAAUCUUUGAAAUGGCCUUGUAAUAUUUCCGUCCGACCUGCCCAAACUUUCUCAUCUGCAGACGAGAAGAAAAGACACCUUUUGGGGGUAAAGAUUCUUUGCCGGGUCAACUGAAGGCGAUUUUCUUCCGGUCGUAGGGGAACAAGAAAAGAAUCAAGCCUGUUCUAGACAAUCAGGAAGGGGGAUCAAGUGUGUGUGUGGGGGGGUGCUGUUGGCAAUUUAUGGGGAGGGGGGCUGUGAAGCAGCAAUGUAGACCUAUUCCCAGCCCUACCAUGUUCCCGUCAGAAUGACAAUACAGGAAGGGUCUGAAAAAUGGCCGUGGCCCUUAAUGGUUUCCCUUCUAGGUAAGACUGGCUGAUUGCCAGCUUUUCAUGCACUACAAAUUCCCUUAAAGACUAAAAGACACUUUUAAAUAUUAUUUGGGGAGGGAUGGAGUUGGGUUUUCAUGUUUUAAAGACCGGGGGGGAAUAAAUAAUGUACAUAAUAUUAUAUAGGCCAUUAUGGUGCUAUUGGGAAUUCAGUUACUCACGGCUGUAUAUCAUGUUCUGCACCCCACCCCACCCUAGACAACAUCAUAGCUUCAUAAAAGUGGGGGUUCUUUCUUCCUGGAAGGCACUGGCUGGAGGAGGGGGCCUGGAAGGGGGGGGGACGACCACAGGGUCUGAGUAGACAAUCCUUCCUUAAAAGCCAGGACACUUUGCAAGGUGGGGUGGGGGGGAAGGUGUAUAUUAAAAAAAAUAUUUAUUUUGCAAUAUGUGUUUAUUAAAUUGCUGCUUUUUUAAAAAAAGAGAUCGUUUUGACUUGCACAUUGUUGAUCUUGGAUUUGAGCGUCGGUGGCUUGUACGCUCGAGGGGGCGACACGGAACAAACAUGUAUAAUCUAGACUUAAAUUGCCAAUUAAGAGGAUUUUGUUCUGAAAGGGCUGCGGCGGCAUAUGAAGUGUGGGGCACCCUAGUCUCCUGCAAAAUUUUAGGACAGUAUUAAAAGUUUUAGUUCAAAGGUCAGCCCCUUCCCCCUCCCCCGAAGACGGUCGUAGAGGACACAUCCAAUAGGUCCUGAGUCUAGACUCUCUCCACACUAGUAAACUCUCAUUUCUAUCGACCCAACUAGAAAACGUUUGAAUGUGGUUUAACUUCUACGGCCGUCAUUUUCUGAAGGCAGUGGGAAAUCUAGAAUCGGGUCUUAAACGAGAUUCGAACCAGUUUAGGUUUGCUAUGUAGACAUUUAUGCUCGUAUUGUAGAUCUUCCGGUGGAAUGUGGGCGUGAGUGUUUUUCCCCCAGCAAAGGUGUGAGUGCCUGUUUGUGUGUGUGUAUCUGAACAAAAUAAUCUCAGAAAUAUCACAACUGGCCCCAAAUCUUUCCCCGUACCUCUGGCGAGCAAACUCUGCUUCAGACGGGGAGGGGCGGGAAUCCCGAUCCACUUAAACACAUGGUUAGUUAUGGUCAAUACAAAUAAAAAGUAAUAAUUGUUGGAAACGAGAAAAAAAAAGGACGGGAAGCCAGCAGAAGUAUGAAAUACAUGAAAUACCAAAAAAAAUUAAUAAGCUGUGCCUCUUCACUUUACUGCUGGCUUGUACUUCCUUUUUCACCCCUUCCUUGAGUUUUCUUCUUCUCCAAAUUGCAAUCUGUGGCCUUCUUUUGAGGGGUGGGGGAUUUUUUAUACCUGAUGUACCCUUAUACUGGGGUAGGGCUAUCGGGAUCGGCUGGGGGAAUCGAGCGGGCGGGGCGUGAUCCAAGAAGGAACGUGGAGGGCGGGGCUAGAGUUCUUCCAUGUCUGGGUUUUCUUUUCUACAUUAGGACUGUGACUUCCCUGAAGACUGCUUAGUUGAUUAAUUGUCUGCUUUUUUAAAUCGAUUAAUUAACAGACUAAAUUUGCAUACGGGGUAGGUUUGGAAACAGGGGUGGGGAGGUCCUUAUUUUGCUUUUUUUUUUUUUUGGUUAUUCAUACUUAUGUGAAAGCAAGCAUAUCUUGGAAGAGGCACUCCCUUCUGGGUAUAAGAGGAAAAAAGGCUUUUUUGAUAAGACUGUUCGAAGAGGCGUCCCACCCUGUCUGAGAAAGGAAAACGCUUCGUCUCAAGUUGCAUAGGGAGAAGCAUUCACUCUUCAUUUAAGUAUCGUUUGAAGAGGUAUUCCUGAGGCACUCCUUCCUAUGUGCGAGAAAAGGACAAACACCUCUUCUAAGAAGACGAUUGCCUCUUUUAUAUAUAUAUAUAUCGCUAUCUAUACGUAUAUAUCUAUAGAUAUAGAUAUAUAUAAAUCUCCCGUGAAUCACACCGGUUGGCAAGUCACAGUGUGACCUGAAAGAUCUUUGCAUGGAAUUAUGUUCCAUAUAUUUCAAUAGGACUUACAUCUCCCUAUAAAUAUGCAUAGCAUUUCAUAUUUACAGGAGAGGCAAAUAUAUAUAUAUAUACUGUUUUGGUCAUUUUUAUUCAGACUCUGAAGGGAGGCAGGAUCUAAACGCGUCAGUGGAGUGAACAGGGUUCCUUGCGUCUUUUUUGACCUACGAAUGUCUGGGGCAGGAAGUGAGGCUGAUAUGUACCUGGAUGUGGAAAAGAGGUCAAGGGUCAUUUCGCUCCUCUUGGAGCCUGAUUAUGGCCAAAGGGCACAAGGUCUGUCCCACUCUUUUCUUGACAUUGCUGCCCUGUCGAUCCGUACGGUAUGUAUCCCCCAACGCGCAGCUGUUCAGUUUGGGAUGCCUCAUCCUAUGGGCCUGAUUUUCCAUUGUCUCUGUGUUACUCUCGAGGAGGGCAGUGCUGCAGGUAGAGUCCGGGGGGGCAGGAAAGAGAAUAGCGGACAUCUGUCUCCAAAGUGACGCCUCAGAUUUGAGUGGCAAGUUUUUAAUUUCUUUUUUUCCUCCCGGUCUCUCCCCAUCCUUUCCCCCGUUUUCUUUUUAUAUUUCUAAUUUUGGAGUAUAUUUCUUCUGCCCCCCCACUCCACCCUGUGUCCCCAUCCUUUGUCAUUUAUAUUUUACAGAUUUUACAGAAAUAAUAGUUACUCUCUCUCAAUCUUUUCUUCUUUUUUUUGGCUUCUUGCUUGCUAUUUCAUGUUAACAUGUACAAAACCACACUGACGCAACAAGGAAAUGGGAGCCGCUCCCCCCCCCAUAGAAGCUCACCUAAAUAUGGCAUAUCUUAUCCGCCCCCCCGUGCAAAUUUAACCAUUCGGCCUCUCCUUGGCUGCUUCUCAGCAUCCUCAUCCAACUACAAUUCCCAGAAUUCUUUGAGAGGGGAAGUCCAUGAUGUAAACUUGGUACCUGUCUAAAAACAUGCUGCAUCCAUGCCCUGUGGAAAAGACCAAUGGGCAAUCCAAAUUUCCUUUUCUGAUCCCAAUUUCAAUCUGGUUCCAAAAUGUAGCGACUGCAGCCCCCCCGCCCCCGCAGUCCAUUUCAGCAAGGAUAAUAAUGCCCCACCCCACAUAGAUUAUACCCCACCCCCAAGUAACGGCUCCCUUCCUUGGUGCUCAUAGCAUUUCUAUGCGUUACUGUUAGCCGAUGCGCCUCCCUUUUUAUGUACUGAAAGUCGACGCUGGUUUUCUUUAUUGUUUCCUCUCUUAAUUUUUUUCCCCUAUGCAAAAGGAAAAAAAAAUCCAAAAGGACAAUUAAAAAAAAAAGUUUAAAAAAAA